rnacentral:tRNA from 1 species
GAAAAGCUAGUUUAAACUAUUAAAACAUUAAUUUGUCAGGUUGAAAUUAUUUCUAGUAAAUGCUCUUCU